rnacentral:rRNA from 1 species
CCUACGGGUGGCAGCAGUGGGGAAUAUUGCACAAUGGCGGAAACCCUGAUGCAGCCACGCCGCGUGAAGGAAGACGGUUUUCGGAUUGUAAACUUCUGUUUUUCGUGAAGAAUAAUGACGGUACCUGAAGAAGAAGCCCCGGCUAACUACGUGCCAGCAGCCGCGGUAAUACGUAGGGGGCAAGCGUUAUCCGGAUUUACUGGGUGUAAAGGGGGCGCUGAGGGGGAUGCAAGCCAGGAGUGAACGCCCGGGGCCCAACCCCGGGACUGCUGUUGAAACUGCGUGGCUGGAGUGCAGGAGGGGCAGGCGGAAUUCCUGGUGUAGCGGUGAAAUGCGUAGAUAUCAGGAGGAACACCGGUGGCGAAGGCGGCCUGCUGGACUGCAACUGACGUUGAGGCCCGAAAGCGUGGGGAGCAAACAGGAUUAGAUACCCUUGUAGUC